GGCGGACUCACCGCACAGCCAGCAUCUCACCAAUGAAGCAACCGUAAAGAUGAUCUCACUCCUCUUAUUUGAUGGCUUAUGACCUCCUGGCAGCUGCUGUCCAGAAGGCUGAGGCCCUGUGGGAACAUUCAAGCUCUGAACUCUCUUCUCAGAGUGCCGACCGGCUGAUGCCAGUGCUUCAGCUGCUCUGCCGGCGACCCAAGCCUUGCAAAACAAGAGCCAUCACCCACCGCCCGCCUCCCCUCCCCGCUCUCCCCAACAGCACUCUUACACCGUAUGUCCUUGGUAAGGAAAAUACCCCAAGUCCCCCCACUGAAGAUGCUGAACUAACAAAAUCCUCUUUCGCUCCCCCACUCAGUCUUUCUCUUUC